UACAGAGGUCUCAAGCGUUGUUCGGAUUCAUUGGGCGUAAAGGGUGCGUAGGUGGCGUCGUAAGUCGGGUGUGAAAUUUCGGAGCUUAACUCCGAAACUGCAUUCGAUACUGCGGUGCUUGAGGACUGGAGAGGAGACUGGAAUUCAUGGUGUAGCAGUGAAAUGCGUAGAGAUCAGGAGGAAGACCAGUGGCGAAGGCGGGUCUCUGGACAGUUCCUGACACUGAGGCACGAAGGCCAGGGGAGCAAACGGG
rnacentral:rRNA from 1 species